GGCUGACUCUGUCCACCUUUAUGCUCUAUUUGUAUGUGUGCUUUUGUAUUUUUUUCGCUUAAAGUGGGUUUGGUUCUAAGGGGCCCGGAUUCAGCACUGGGCAGGACGCAGAGAGCGCCGCGGUCUGGAGCUGGGCCCUGGGCACAAGCCAGGCUCCCAGGAGGCAACGCUUCACUGGAGCAGGCCGGAGGAGGGCGGGGCUGGGCCUUGCGGGGAGGCCAGCUUGGGCGGGGCUCCCGGGAACUUUAACCUUUACCCCAGUCCUGGAAGGCGUCCUAGAGGGAUCUUUAGGGUCUGUUUUCCUCAGCACCGUUUUGGAAGCAGCUCCGCCAGCAGGUGGAGACCGACCUGGAGGGGCUGACCGGCCAUCUGGGUCUCAGCUCCAAUGUCGCCUUCCUGGAGAGCUUUCUGUCCCCACCGGAAGUGCAGCCCGGCCUCGCGGUGGAAGUUCCCCUCUUCUCUCCGGCCUUUGUCCUGAGCUGCUCAGCCAAGGCGGAAGCAUGAGAGGCUCUCCUGAAGGACCGCAAUCCCGGGGUGAGGCCGGCGGGGCAGAAGCGCGGUCUCGGCAGCUGCUUCCCUCUGCGCCCCAAGGGACAAGCACGCGCGCGCCAGGGGGGCGACCCUCCCAGGACAGCGGGGUCCCGGGGUCCCUUCCCCCUGCCCCCCAGGAAGUGGGUACAAAUCCUCCAGCUCCUGCGCCCAGGUGCAGCUCUCGCGGCUCCAGGGCCUCCCUCCCUCACCGCCUUCGCGGGUGAUCCCGGGUCACAGAGCUGGACUCCUGGGAGCUGAGCGGCUGACCAGGCUACCCCCGCCAGAGCCUUAAUGUCCGCGUCCUAACCCCGUCCUCUGCUUCCUGGCUCCUUUAUUCCAGCCCUUGCAGUGGUGAUAACUUUUUCCCUGCUGCCUCAAAUCAGACUCGACAAAGGAAAGGAUCGCCUUGCUUAACCAUUCUAUUUGGGGUCACCCCACGGCAUGGUGCUAGCAGAUUUCUCAGUGAGGUGGUAGUUCACAACAGCGAGUUUGUGAGAGCCGGGGAAGGACAAGUUCCCACAAGCCUGCACCCAGCCCUGACGGGGACACCCUGCUGUAUCGGUAAGGACCAGAAGAAGGGCCAAGCGGAUUUAUGAUGUUGGUGAUUCUUUGUUAAAUUAAAAAUGGAUUUACUGGAAAAUCUUGUUAGAUUAUCAGAUUGAGAGAGAGAGAAAAAGUGACCCUCCCAGCUGCCACAGGGGCCACAUGGCCUGUUCUCUCACCUUGGACUUCAUUUCCUGCCAGCC
rnacentral:lncRNA from 1 species